rnacentral:lncRNA from 1 species
AAAAGGGAAAGGAGGAGGCGUCGCAGAGGCAGAAAGUUGAAGCGGAGCGAAGAAAAGGGAAUUCUGGCUGAGAAACACUGUGUUACAUGCGACAUCAAUGUCCAAAAAUCAGUAAGUUUUGUCUUUUCCAUUUCUUUUACGAGAUUCCCUUUUCAUAUUUCACACUAAACGGCGUGUAGGUGUGAAACCAAUCACCCAAUAUUCAAAGCAAGUAAGGAGUGCUCUUGGGGAACCAAGGAGACCAUCCUUCAGAAGCUAGGAGUCGAACCCAAGUAUUUUCAGGUUUUUAAAGCACCGCACCAAACCAGGUGUGUUCCUUUUCCUCUUUCAAUGUGUGUUCUCGAUGAAAUGGGUAUUCAUGUUUGUGUGUGUGCAGGUUUCGGGAGCUAGAGUGCUUGCCUCAGCAUGACGAGUGAGGGUAUUCUCAAGAAAACCAAAAAUUAUCUUCGGUAGUGAGAAUCGAGAAAGUGAAACUAUUUGGCCUUUGUAGAACUAAACCAAAUCAGGUGACCAUUCGUUUCCUUUUUUGUUGUGGAGUUUUGGGGGAGUACGGAUGCUUAAAUUUAUAUAUGUGUAUACGUAUAGGUUUUGGAAAGUAAAUCGCCCACAUCUAUGUAAGGAGCUGAAGUGGUGGUUCGCUGAAUAUCGAAGAAUGAGUUUGUUGUGAUAAUUACCUAAAAUGACCACUUUUAAUCAUUUUCAUCAACUAAAUCUGAUUAUACUUAUGUAUGGUGAGUCUAGGCCAUUGAUCAAGUCGAGUACAAUCCGUUGAGGGACUUUGAUAAGUAUUUCCUUAUUCCAGACCUAGAUUUGGAUUUAGAAGGUUUAUGCAUGGGUAUUCUUAAAUUUGUGUGUGUUUUAAUAUAGAACAGAUAUUGCCUUGAUUCCUUG